rfam:Cupriavidus sp. TYMMa02A contig.129, whole genome shotgun sequence.
GUGACGAUGACCGAGCGUGGGGAGAGAGCGCGGAGCGAAACUGCGGGCCGAGGGACGCGAACCGGAUAGAAGGCGGUGCCGACCAGGACGAGCGGGCACGAAACCGCAACCGCGAAGUUCUCGUGAUCAACGGGCGGUGGCGUAAAUCUGGCGGUUUUGUGCAGCGAAAGAGUGAGUUC